UACGUAGGCAGCGAGCGUUUGUUCGGAGUUACUGGGCGUAAAGCGUGCGUAGGCGGUGUCUUAAGUUUGUUGUGAAAUCUCCCGGCUUAACCGGGAGGGUGCGGCGAAUACUGAGAUGCUGGAGUGCCGGAGAGGUAAGCGGAAUUCCUGGUGUAGCGGUGAAAUGCGUAGAUAUCAGGAGGAACACCUGCGGUGUAGACGGCUUACUGGACGGUAACUGACGCUGAGGCACGAAAGCGUGGGUAGCAAACAGG
rnacentral:rRNA from 1 species